rnacentral:tRNA from 3 species
GGAGAAAUGGCAGAGUGGUCGAAUGCGGCGGUCUUGAAAACCGUUGUACCGCAAGGUACCGGGGGUUCGAAUCCCUCUUUCUCCGCCA